UGGGGAAUAUUGCGCAAUGGGGGAAACCCUGACGCAGCAACGCCGCGUGGAGGAAGAAGGUCUUCGGAUUGUAAACUCCUGUCUUCUGGGACGAAGUAUGACGGUACCAGAGGAGGAAGCCACGGCUAACUACGUGCCAGCAGCCGCGGUAAUACGUAGGUGGCGAGCGUUGUCCGGAAUUACUGGGCGUAAAGGGCGCGUAGGCGGUUUUUUAAGUCAGAUGUGAAAACCCGGGGCUUAACUCCGGGAGUGCAUUUGAAACUGGAGAGCUUGAGUGCAGGAGAGGUAAGUGGAAUUCCUAGUGUAGCGGUGAAAUGCGUAGAUAUUAGGAGGAACACCAGUGGCGAAGGCGACUUACUGGACUGUAACUGACGCUGAGGCGCGAAAGCGUGGGGAGCAAACAGGAUUAGAUACCCU
rnacentral:rRNA from 1 species